AGUCCUGUAGUCACUAGAGAUCUCACAAGCAGCAAGAUAAAGUCCCUGCCUCCAUGAAGCUUACCUUGCAGUGGAGGAGGAAGACAAUAACAUCAUGUCAGAGGUGCUGCUACUGCUACUUCAAACUGUAAUAGUGUCUACAAACAAUUUGCACUUUGGAAUGGCACAAUCCCAGGGGGUAAUUAACAAAUCCAGGGAACAAUCUUUUUAAAAGCCUUUAAAAGCAACAGAGACUGAGGCCACCUUCGAUGAAACAGAAUCACUCCACUUUCUCUGUCAUUUCAGAAGAUACCUGGCUGACUCGUAGAGAGGUGUUGAGAGCACAGGCCCUGGGCUUUAUGGAAAGUUCCUCAAGAUGUGUUAAUUAGAAAUAAAAUGCAGCAUGGUUAUCGGCUGCAGAGCUUUCUGAAUGAAGCAGACUCUGAAGAGGGACUAAGAUUUCAAGAGUUAGAAGCAGAGUUCACAAAGGGCCACCCAAGGACUGUGAAUUCCAAACAUACCAUUCACUAUUCCAAGGUAGAAGACUGCGUUCACCAGCAUGCCUCCUUUCCGGAAGUGGUCGCUCAUGUGCUCUAACCAGUUGGCGUCCAAACCGCUCACUGUCUGGCCAUUCUUGGAGACAUGGAGAGGAAUGGUGACAGGGUAGUAUUGCCGGCACUUCUGAUGGCUCUUCGGUUUGUUGAAAAGGGUGAAGAUCUCCAUUUCUGUUGGGAUUUGUAAAGGGAGUGGAGAGAGAAGAGGUCAACUGAUGAUAAAAAUCUGUUUCAUCGGCUUAAGUGGAAUCUCUCAGGAGCCUGAAUAAAUGAUAUGAUGAAUGCUGAAAUCUCUGUGAGGCUGUAUUGUUGCCAGAUAAUAAAGCCUCAUUCCAAGUAGUAAGUUGAGGCUGGCUUAAAGUAACAUGGACCUGAAGGGUUGGGCUUCUGAUGGGGAACUUAGGUUUUUAAUCUGGAAUAUAAUGAAUAGCUGUUAUCUGCGAUUAAUAGGCACAGCUAGGUGUUUGAGAAAAGAACAUAGCAGAUGGUUCUAGAAAUUCAUACAAAGAUGUGUCUUAGAAAUAAAAGCAGACAUACUUGGGUGAGAAUGGUCUUUGAAAAACUAAAUGUACAGACACACAUAAAAACAAAAAUACUGCUCUAAUUCCAGGAACCUUGUACACUCCUGAACUCACUAUUUAUAAACUGCAGUAGUGUUUCCUGGGGCUGAACCCAUAAUACUUAAUCAAGUACAUCAAAAAUACAUCAUUGAUAUGUAAAAAUAAAUAUGUUCCCGUAAAUGAGAGUUCCUGCCUGGAGUGGCAGGUCGGUCCAAACAGCCAAAAAGGCACAGGGGAUGAGGCGCUGAGCUUUUGGUUCCUUCAUUUAUAGCACAGUUCUUCAGCAAUCAAUAAUCACUGCCACCCAGCAGCUGAGCCGCAACUGCCUACGUGCAGCUGGGCGUGGGUUAGCAGUAGCAGCCUCCAGAAGCAAAUACCUGGAAUUUCAAUCUAAGUCUGAGAGUCUAUUUUUGUGCUCCUCAUUUAGUCAAGCAAUCAGUUGACCCAGCUUAAAAAGUCUUGCUUACACAGGCUAGUCAGGAAUAUGCUUUGGUUUCCAAAAAUAUCUUCUUAAAUCAUAAGAAAAUCCCCACCCUUCUUUGAAACAAGAAUUUAAAGGUCAUAAACAAUGGUUGACAUUAGCAAGAAGGACAAAGCACAUUCAUGCUCCCUGCAUGAGACACCUGGACCCACACUCUCUGAUGCUGUUUCUCAGAUUUCAGUAUCUCACAAUGUUUUGUGGUAUCCAAGUACUAGUUGAUUUUUUUAAUUGACUCACUUUCCUUUAUUUAAACAAACACAUUUUUUUAGAAAAAGGAAACUUUGUUUCAUGACUAUGAAGGCAGUCCACUACCACUUGCCAAAAACAAGGGGUGAUGAUGAAGCACAUUAACACCAAAUAUGUUCAUCCAUCUAACAUCUAAAAUUAUCUCACAUAGGUCACAAAGUCUUCUCACAGCCCCGCCUGAGCGAACACCAGCAGAGAUCUCUAGGGACCAACGCUGGGCCAUAUUACUUUGUCAUCAGCAAUACCUGAAUGAACAGCAGCCAUUUCAGGCUUUCCAUCCAAUAGAACAAUUAGGGAAGGAAGGUGCCCGUCUUUGGAAGUGGCCACCUGUAUUUUAAACACCAAUUCUAGCCUGUUCAUCAUCCCCACGCCAAGUUGCUUUUCUCAGCCCUCCUGCUUACUCAGGAAGCCAUCUCCAGCCAGGAAGUACUUUCACACCAGAAAUUAGGUCUUGGUGUAUAGAACUGGCAGUCACUAGACUAGUUUGUGAGUUCAAAAUACAAACUUUAGAAAUGGAGCGACACAGAGGAGGUUCGUAAUGGAGGGAAUCCGGCCAUAAAUUGGGGCUGGGGUGGGCAGGAGGUGAACUAGAUGAUUGGGUGUUUUCCAGUCCUGGGCGUCAGGGGUUCAAUUAAAAGCUGCAGCUACUGAGGGCAAGAGAAUAAGCAAGGUUUUAGUGAGUUCUUGGGUUUAUUUGGAUUCCUUCGAAAGCAGACCCUGCAAGCUUUCCUGUGCAAGUAGUUUAUUUGGGAAGUGAUCCCAGGAAACAGAGGGAAGGAGUAGGAAUGGGAAACAGGGAGGAGCUGGAGAUGAUGCCAGUGAAUGAGUGCACUGAAGAGCAUGUUACCACUGGGGCAGCCAGGGCUCAAUCCCAACAAGGACCCUGAGACACUGUGUAAAACACACUUCAGAUUCACCCACCAAGGGCAAGGAAGGCGGGACAUUUAUCCUCAUAAAUUGAAGGUCACUCCUGAAUCAUUAAUUCCUCAGGGCCCAUUCCCGAGAAUGGCUGCAGGUAGAGAGGCUAAGGAAGCUGUGGGCUCGGCCAGAGCUGUCCACAGGUGACCCCAACAUGGGCCAUAGCACCACUCGCUACAGCCUGCUACAGUCAAGCACAAAUGCAAAUGAAUUAAGAAGAAGAAGAAAAAAAUCACAGCCUCUGUGUGGGAGAAGUAGGUGGGGAAUUUGGAAGUGGCCAAAGUCCAAAACUACAUGGUAACACUUGAUCACACAGAAGGAACUCCCACUCAAUGGCAAGACAGAAACAUAACUUUCCCAAACGCGUAAUGAACCAGAAAAAGGGGAAGGCCAAAGGAGAAGUGAGAAUGCUGGGGGUGUAGCGGAGGAAGACAGAGACCCUCAGAAAAGGUAGACGGUGCUGACAGCUUUCUUGGCUUGAUCCUCCCCAGGGGGCCAGACUGAAGCCAGAGACAGAAAUAAAUUUCUCAGGAAAAGGAAACAGUGUUGGAACGAAGAGCCUCCAAAGCAUCAGCAGCAAUGAAAUAUUGGGAGAAACCUGAUUGCAGAUGCGUAACCCUUGUACACUCCUCUGCCCCAUCAUCUCCUUGGCCCCAGUCCUUUCUCUACCCACAUGGAAACCAGCCAAGAGAACUGUCCAAAAGUGAUGUCCUUUGAUGUUUUAAUAUUCUGAUUCUCCAACACACAUCCUCACGUGAGCAAGCACCAAAGAUUCCAAAAAGAAGCCCCACGUUUGUUUAAAUUUUCUCAGCUGCUCUGUGACUCUGCCAUGACCCCAGCUGGAAGAUUUUUCCAGACAUGGGAUGCCUCCUGGUUUCUCUGAUGGAAGCUGUGGCAACGGAGACACUGAGGCUGUCCCUGCACAGGCUCAGGUGAUCACGGCACAGCAUGGACCUCCAACCAAAAGGAAAUUCCCCCAGACCAGGAAAUAAGUCAGCAAGCAGGAAGAGGAACCCACGGCGGGCCUCCCCAAGAACCUGCAGGGGCAAGGAGGUGUGACGGCUGCACCGAGCCCGCAGAGAUGGGGAAGGACGACCUGCCCCUGCUUCCGCAUGGAGAAUCCACUGGAAAGUCCUGUCUGAGCAGGCACUGCCUAGAUUCCUCUCCCCAAGGCCUCCUAUAAAGGAAAUAAAUUAACUGAGGAGAAGGAAGGAAGAGGAGGGAGACUCCCUCUGGAUUUUU